AUCAUGGAGAGUUUGAUUCUGGCUCAGAACGAACGCUGGCGGCGCGUCUUAAACAUGCAAGUCGAACGAGAAUCCCGGUGCUUGCAUUGGGAAGAGAGUGGCGAACGGGUGAGUAACACGUGGAUAAUCUGCCUCCAGGAUUGGGAUAACCACUCGAAAGGGUGGCUAAUACCGAAUGAGAUGGCGGUUGCAUAAGCAGCAGCCAUUAAAGGUGGGGACCGCAAGGCCUACCGCCUGGAGAUGAGUCCGCGGCCCAUUAGCUAGUUGGCAGGGUAAUGGCCUACCAAGGCGACGAUGGGUAGCCGGCCUGAGAGGGUGAUCGGCCACAUUGGGACUGAGAUACGGCCCAGACUCCUACGGGAGGCAGCAGUUAAGAAUCUUGCGCAAUGGGCGAAAGCUUGACGCAGCGACGCCGCGUGGACGAUGAAGGCCUUCGGGUUGUAAAGUCCAAUAAGCAGGGAAGAAUAAGUUCCGGAUAAUACUCGGAAUGAUGACGGUACCUGCCUAAAGCCCCGGCUAACUACGUGCCAGCAGCCGCGGUAAUACGUAUGGGGCGAGCGUUGUUCGGAAUUAUUGGGCGUAAAGGGCGUCUAGGCGGGGGAUUAAGUUAGGUGUGAAAUCCCUGG
rnacentral:ncRNA from 1 species